rnacentral:SRP_RNA from 1 species
GCUGGGUGUGGUGGCGUGCACCUGUAGUCCCAGCUACUUGGGAGGCUGAGGUGGGAUGAUUGCUUAAGCCCAGGAGUUCGAGGCUGCAGUGAGCCAAGAUCAUGCCACUGCACUCCAGCAUGGGUGACAGAGUGAGACCCUGUCUCAA